CCUACGGGCGGCAGCAGUGGGGAAUAUUGGACAAUGGGCGAAAGCCUGAUCCAGCCAUGCCGCGUGUGUGAAGAAGGCCUUCGGGUUGUAAAGCACUUUCAGUGGGGAAGAAAGCCUUGGGGCUAAUACCCUCGAGGAAGGACAUCACCCACAGAAGAAGCACCGGCUAACUCCGUGCCAGCAGCCGCGGUAAUACGGAGGGUGCGAGCGUUAAUCGGAAUUACUGGGCGGAAAGCGCGCGUAGGCGGUCUGAUAAGCCGGUUGUGAAAGCCCCGGGCUCAACCUGGGAACGGCAUCCGGAACUGUCAGGCUAGAGUGCAGGAGAGGAAGGUAGAAUUCCCGGUGUAGCGGUGAAAUGCGUAGAGAUCGGGAGGAAUACCAGUGGCGAAGGCGGCCUUCUGGACUGACACUGACGCUGAGGUGCGAAAGCGUGGGUAGCAAACAGGAUUAGAUACCCUAGUAGUC
rnacentral:rRNA from 1 species